rnacentral:lncRNA from 1 species
GUUAACACAUGGCUGCCAGGUUGGAUUGUGCUAAUUUUAUUUGUGCAGUUCAGUCUUCAGUGAUGUAGGGAGGAGUACGAAACAAUACUGAGACCAUAUGUUCCGAUUAACACAACUGAAUUCAAAGCAAUGCUUUUCCCUGCUCAGCUGGAAAACAAGCCCACAGUUUUCAGUGCUGCCAUAUAAGUGUUCAGAAGUAAGAUGACAAAGAAACAUAGAAAGAUCCCUUAAUUCACAUCAAAUAAGAACAGGGGUGCACCAGAUUAUCAGCUUGCAGGCAGAGCAGGAAGUGAGAAUAAGAUACUCUUCCUGUAGUAACUCACAGAGUACAGUUACAACAGCUGAAAAGAAAGGAAAUGAUGAACUACUUUUUUCUCACUAAAAUAUUUCAAGCCUGAAGGAGU